rnacentral:lncRNA from 1 species
UAAAUUGAUUUAAAAUAGGAAAACACAUUAUCUGAGAUCAUAGUAGGACAAUAGUUUUGAAUUGCAUUGUUAUGCAUAUGAAAUAAAUACACCCCUUCCCCAGGGUAUGUUCCCCAUUAUUAGCCAUUACAACCUACAGCUGUAGGUGGUCAAUAACUUGUUCUUUUUCCUGAGUACUGGAGCAGUACAUUAGCAGCAUCUGAGAAAAACACAAGAGCAAUUGUACAUUGGGAAGAGUUAGGUUUGCUGCCCUCACUCCUUGAGCCCCACCCUCCUCGCACCACCAGCCACACAUAUCCCUCCCCUUUAAGGGAUCUUAAGAAUCUUAAGAAUCAAGUCUUAAGAAUCAAGUAGCUUCUGCCUCUUUGUUUUAUUUCUUCUAGAGGGAUAGUUAACACAUCAUAAUUUAACUUGUCUAUUCAUGUGUUUAUAGUCGAGAUGCCGCUGGUCACAUACAGUACCAGCUAUAUUCCUAAGACGUCAGAGAGCAGUAGUAGUAUGAGAAUAGAAUUCUUUUCUACUUGGGUAAACUAGGUGGGAGGGAGAAAUAACACAGUAAAUAAAGGUUUUGCCUUAAUGAAGUUAGUGUUCCAGCCUCUUAGGAAGUGGCCACAUUCUGCUCUUGUUCACUCUGUUCUCUUUCAGAGCCUUUGUACUUUGCAUCAUCACUGCUGGUAUUUCUUGGUCCUCUUCAAUAUGCUGUUUUAAUCCUCAUUUUUCCUAUAAAGAACCUGUGAAAAGAAUAAAUCUGUAAAAUGAUUUGUGAAUAUUAAAUGUACAAAUAAAAAACACUGGAAAA